UCCGGUCCCGUCCCGCUGGGGUUGGAUGUCUCCGGGGCGGGGCGGUCUGUGUUAUUAGGCAGACUAAAAACUAAAACUCUUGGGUCCAAAACGAUCCCUUUUAUGAGACCAGCUGGGCAAGUUUUGGGGCGCAAAGUCCCUUGGGCAGACCCUGGGGAAAGCAUCGAUGGUUCAAGAUGGGAAAAGUCUCCGUUAUUACACCGACUGGGUGGCGUGUUGGCUUCUGUUCCGCCCUGUGCCAGGAGAAGGGCGUUUGUGCCCCAAAGCUACCGAAGAGCAAUCUUUCCAAGGAGUUGGUCUCCUAGAGGACGCCAGGUUGACCCAAAGCACCUUGUCUGCCCCAAACUUUCCAUCAUCCUAGGGUGCCCCCACGCCCUGCUCCCAGCAAAAAUGAAAGUUGGUGUCUAUGAUGUGCUUCAUUGGGGGUGGGGGAGCGCACCUGGGCCCUUGCAGCAAAUGCCACAGGAACUUUGAUGACACAAAAUGAUCAGGAACUCAACUGAACAUCUUCAGCAACCUCUUGACCUUAGUACUAGGAGAGACACUGGUUCCAGAAUGUAGAGUAGAAAGAACUCCUCUAACCAAGUAGUAACUACUUCUUGGAGCACUUAAGUUUUCUAGUGGUCUCCCAUACAACUACUAUUUAAGCCUAAAACAUUUACUUGUGCCAAGAUCAUACUACAAAAUGUUAUAGCUACAAUAUUUUACAAAAUUGUUAUAUUUUGCUACAAGUUCCAUUGUUUAAAGGAGUGUUAGAAAGCACAUAUUUCUUUCAAGCAUGAAGUGAACAGAAAAAGAACAUGCAAAUUAUGUAACUUGUAAAAACAAAUUUUCAGCUAUACAUCAACUGACUUUUAAAAAAAAUAUAUAUUUGAAGCUCUCAAAGAACAAAACAGGAAAAUUAAUUUGGUCUCAAUACCUAGAAGAGGCAAGCCAGAGAGAUGCUACAUGUCUUUGUCAAGAGUCAUAGAAGUAGCGCCUGACUGAUCCAAAAAGAAAACUAUGGUCUUUUGAUGCAGUUUUCUGCUUGAAUUAUAAGAUUCUCUUUGCUCCUAGUAGUUUAGUGGAGUUAUGAUUAAUAAUUUAAACGUUACAAGGACAACACAGCGCACUGCAUAAACACUGCAUAUUAUGCGUAUAAGAAAGCACCCUUGCUAAUUCCAAGUUGGAUUGUGAAACACUGUGUUUUUUCAUCUGUAUCAUUCAGCUAUACUUGUACAUGGUAAAGGAAGUACUAUUCCUUUUAGAGGCUCUCACCUCUGAUAUAACAAACCAUUCAACUUGACACUGCAAAAUAUCCAGUGUUACUGUGAAUUUAUCCCUGUAUUUUGUCUUUUUUUUUAAAAAAGCAUUAAUUUUUAUCUUCCCAUUUUAUGGAGCCCUUAUACUAUUCAGUGAUUUUUCUAAUUGACUUAACACUCAACAAAACUUUUCUGCACAUAGGAGUUUGCAGUAGCACAUACCUGCCACUCCUUAAAAAAGGCACUGUUUGAAAUCUUCCCAAACCUGAAAUUCAAGAGAGUUUAAUCUAACUUUAGAAUAGAAAUUUGUCUAAAACUUGGCCUGUGACCAAUGACUGCAAAGUGAAUUUAGGUUUAAAAUAUUGAAUUGAUUAUAAAGCCUGAAUGCUCACCAUUAAAAUGCAUGCACUUUCCUGCUAGCCAUACACUGAAAAGGCACUAUCAAAUAUAGCGUAUAAAAUGUCUUCAAAAUGA